rnacentral:rRNA from 1 species
CUACGGAGGGUGCGAGCGUUAAUCGGAAUUACUGGGCGUAAAGCGCGCGUAGGCGGUUUGUUCAGUCGGAUGUGAAAUCCCCGGGCUCAACCUGGGACCUGCAUCCGAUACUGGCAGGCUAGAGUCUGGUAGAGGGGGGUAGAAUUCCUGGUGUAGCGGUGAAAUGCGUAGAUAUCAGGAGGAAUACCAGUGGCGAAGGCGGCCCCCUGGACUGAGACUGACGCUGAGGUGCGAAAGCGUGGGGAGCAAACAGGAUUAGAAACCCCAGUAGUCC